rnacentral:rRNA from 1 species
UACGGAGGGGGCUAGCGUUGUUCGGAAUUACUGGGCGUAAAGCGCGCGUAGGCGGACCUGCAAGUCGGGGGUGAAAGCCCGAGGCUCAACCUCGGAACUGCCUUCGAUACUGCGGAUCUCGAGUCCGGGAGAGGUGAGUGGAAUUCCUAGUGUAGAGGUGAAAUUCGUAGAUAUUAGGAAGAACACCAGUGGCGAAGGCGGCUCACUGGCCCGGUACUGACGCUGAGGCGCGAAAGCGUGGGGAGCAAACGGG